rnacentral:rRNA from 1 species
UUCCCUUCGGGGACAUUGGUGACAGGUGGUGCAUGGUUGUCGUCAGCUCGUGUCGUGAGAUGUUGGGUUAAGUCCCGCAACGAGCGCAACCCUUGUCUUUAGUUGCCAUCAUUAAGUUGGGCACUCUAGAGAGACUGCCAGGGAUAACCUGGAGGAAGGUGGGGAUGACGUCAAAUCAUCAUGCCCCUUAUGCUUAGGGCUACACACGUGCUACAAUGGGUAGUACAGAGGGUUGCCAAGCCGUAAGGUGGAGCUAAUCUCUUAAAGCUACUCUCAGUUCGGAUUGUAGGCUGAAACUCGCCUACAUGAAGCUGGAGUUACUAGUAAUCGCCGAUCAGAAUGCUGCGGUGAAUGCGUUCCCGGGUCUUGUACACACCGCCCGUCACACCACGGGAGUUGGAGACGCCCGAAGCCGAUUAUCUAACCUUGUGGAAGAAGUCGUCGAAGGUGGAAUCAAUAACUGGGGUGAAGUCGUAACAAGGUAGCCGUAUCGGAAGGUGCGGCUGGAUCACCUCCUUUCUAAGGA